rnacentral:rRNA from 1 species
ACGGGAGGCAGCAGUCGGGAAUAUUGCGCAAUGGAGGGAACUCUGACGCAGUGACGCCGCGUAUAGGAAGAAGGUUUUAGGAUUGUAAACUAUUUUAGACAGGGAAGAAAAAAGACAGUACCUGUAGAAUAAGCUCCGGCUAACUACGUGCCAGCAGCCGCGGUAAUACGUAGGGAGCAAGCGUUAUCCGGAAUUAUUGGGUGUAAAGGGUGCGUAGACGGGAAUUUAAGUUGGUUGUGAAAGCCCUUGGCUUAACUGAGGAGCUACAACCAAAAAUGAAUUGCUUGAGUGCAGGGGAGGAAAGCGGAAGUCCUAGUGUAGCGGUGAAAUGCGUAGAUAUUAGGAGGAACACCAGUGGCGAAGGCGGCUUUCUGGACUGCAACUGACGUUGAGGCACGAAAGUGUGGGGGGCAAACAG